rnacentral:lncRNA from 1 species
AAGAUUCUUGUCUAUGAAUUUGUCAGCAACAAAAGCCUUGACUGCUUUCUAUUUGGUAUAUAUUGAUAAUUUUCUAAUGUUCUUCUCAUUGCCUUUUAGUACGAGAAAUGCAUAUUUGCCUCUAGGAAUAUACUCGAUUCUUCGUAAUCAGGCACAUUUGUCUUUGAGACAGUUGAUCUGCACUCUGACUUGAAGGUUCUGUUUUCUUGAUUUUACAGACCCUGAAAGGCAAGGACUGUUGGACUGGUCAAGACGGUACAAAAUAAUAGGAGGCAUUGCUCGAGGAAUUCUUUAUCUUCACGAGGACUCGCGGCUACGAAUUAUACAUCGUGACCUCAAAGCCAGCAAUAUUCUGCUAGAUGGAGAUAUGAACCCCAAAAUCUCAGAUUUUGGCUUGGCUAGGAUUUUCGUAGUCGAUCAAACUCAAGCAAGUACCAAUAGAAUUGUUGGAACAUAGUAAGUUUGGAUCUAAUUCCCAUUGAUUAGUAAAUUCAUUUGCUGACAGAGUGCUUUCAUUUCGUUUUUUUAAAUCAUUUCUCUGUUUUUCUGGUUUGUAGCGGUUAUAUGUCCCCAGAAUAUGCAAUGCAUGGGCGUUUCUCUGUCAAGUCCGAUGUCUAUAGCUUUGGUGUCUUAAUCCUUGAGAUUAUAACCGGAAAGAAGAACAGUUCCUUCUAUCAAACAGGGGGUGCUGUAGACCUUGUGAGCUAUGUGAGUGCAAUUUUUCUCUCUUGAAAACAAAUAGCAUAAGAUGUAGCAACUUUUGACCAUUCAAUUUUCUGUUUUCAGGUUUGGAAACAUUGGAGAGAUGGGACACCAUUGGAAGUGCUGGAUCCAACUCUGACAGAUACAUAUUCAAGAAAUGAAGUAAUUAGAUGCAUCCACAUUGGAUUGUUAUGUGUUCAAGAAGAUCCAGCUAUCAGACCCGCAAUGGCAACAAUUGUUCUCACACUCAAUAGUUACUCGGUUACCUUACCAUCCCCGCAAGAGCCUGCAUUUUUUUUCCACAGCACUAUAACAGAUGAAGUGAACAUUUCAUGCAAGGAAUUUCUUUUCGAAGAUUCUAAAAACAAGUCUGUUGUUUAUUCUGUAGAUGAAGAUUCAAUUACUGAAGUAUAUCCUCGAUAGGGAGCAUGUGUAUUUUCUCUAAAAUAAGCACUGGAAAAAAAAAACAUGAGGUUAAUUUUUUCAGUACCAAACACUUUAAAAUUGUGAUUUUCAUUGUUGACAGAUAAAACACACAAGUAUUUUGAAUGAAUCUCCAAAGCUUUAUUGAUUAGCUCACACUUAUUUAUACACACUUAUAAUUUUGAAUAUAUUGGCUCUUAUAUUUAUAAAGAAAUUAAUUCUUUAACUUUCUGGAUUCUAACUAACUAAUUAAAUAUUCUAAUUAACUAGUCUAACACAGAUCUUUUUUCUUUUUUCUUCUUUUUUCUCAAGGAUUCCUACCUCCACAAAUUUAUAAAAUGAAGUUUUACAAGGCCUUCCAACAAUGAAUUAAGGAAUUGGGCAGGUAUUAUCCAACAUGGAGAAAGCCACUCUAUGAACUUGCCAUCAGCGAUUGGCUUUGGGCCAAAUCUGAAGGACCUUCGGCGUGCUCUUUAUUUUAAAGAAAGAGAAACAAAUGACACAUCGGCUAUAAUGGUAGAUGAUGAGGUGCCUACUUAGCACUAACUCAGAGUCCAACCAUUAUUGUGAUGAUCAAAACUAUGAAGAGAUUUUUUUGGGUUGAAAAUUUAAUCUUCAACCAAUCUUUGUAAAUAAAAAAAAUUUAAUAAAUACUAUAAAAAACCUUUUUAAAUUAUUUAAUUAUCCCAAAACACAAUAAAAUAACCCAAAACAAAUAUUAAAAUCAACCAAAUAUACAAUCUCUAAAUUGAGGCCAAUUGAUUUUUAUAAACAAGAUAAAGGUUUAAAACUAGUACAAUCAAAUUUUCAUUGUCAAAUAGAAUCCGUUUAUAUUAUAAACAAUGAGUUCUUUUAUUGAGAAAUAACUCACCUAGUAAUGUUCUCUUUUCUAGCUAUUUUCCAUUGAGUUUCUGUUCAUCUCUUUAACACAAAGAGCGAAUAAUGAACGAGUUGAAUUUUAGGAUCAAAAUAAAAAUUAUAGUAAAUUUAAGAUUGGCCAUGUAUUUUCAUUUUUUUUUCAUUUUAAUUCUCUAUUUCUUAAUUUUGUAUUUUCAUGAUAAUUUAAAAUAUAAUUUCAUCUAAUUAAUUAUACUAUAAAAGGAUUCAUUGAAAGAAAAAAAACAUUGAAAAUGAAAAAAAGAAAAGGCAAGAGCUUUAAUUAUAUAAAUAAUGAAACCGACCUUUGUUGGUUUAAUUGUUUUUAUAAUUAUAUCCAAAGACUCUUUGAAAAUUAAUUAAAUAAAAGACUUUUAACUCUUUUUUUAUGUAAUAAAAAAUAGAAGAAGUCGGAGUUGGGUACUCCUUCCAUAUGUAACCCUUUGGUGUUUAUAGCAUAAGGUUCAUGCGAGAAGGGUAUAAAUAUUUUAAGAUAUGGCUAGGAAUUGUGGCAAGUGAUUAAAGUGCCGUUUAUUUUUUUUUGGUUUUGAUAUAUUAAUAUUAAAAAUAUAUUUUUUUAAAAAAUUAUUUUAUUAUAUUUUUAAAUAAAAAAUAUUUUAAAAAAUAACUGUUAUUAUAUAUAUAAAAAAGGUAACAUCACUAUAUAUUAUUAAAAAAUAAUUUUGUUAGCAUCUUAUUGGCUUCACGCUUAAAAAGCCUAAAACAAUGCACUAAUAUGGAUAAAAAUCAUAAAUAUUAUAUAAACAUAGUUGAUUUAAAUAAAUUUUAUAUAAACAUAGUUGAUUUAAAUAAAUUUUAUUAACUUUAUAACUAAAAUAGGAAUUUUAAUACAUAUUUUUUAUUUGUUUUUCAUAUAAAGUUAAUAAUUAAUAAUUUAAUUAAUUUUUCCUUUUUUUCAUAAAAGCUAAUUAUUAGUAAUUGUGCUCAUUCCAUAUCUAAUUAAGAAAAAGACUAAAACAACAAUAUAUAAUUUCUUAACACUAGUUAAUUUCGUUUUCUAUAUGCCAACUCAUGCAUUAUACAAAAUCAUAAAUAAUAUAAAAAAAAACCUCUUAAACCAUCCCUAACCUAUAUAAACUUUAUAUUGAUUAUCAAAACUGUAAAAAUACUUUAAAACAAGUCAUUGAAGGCCAAUAAUUCAAAUCUAAAAUUAUAUCAAAUCUUUAAGGAUUUAUGUUUUGAAGUUCUCCUUAUAUAUAUAAACUUGAUAAAAGUAUUAAAUAUAUAGGUGAAUAAUUCACGAGUGAAGCCCAUGGUAAGAACUCUAAUAAUUAAAUACAUGCAAGUUUUUGCUUUUAAUAGUUGAGUGAACUUAGUUGUUGUCUAGAAGACUAUCAUAUAUUAUUAUAUUGAUGAUAUUGCCAACUAAUUUUUCAAGCAGUUGAUUAUAAGUUCCUUUAAAUAAUAAUGAUGUAUUUGAAUUUUAUUUAGCACAAUGAAAUUACUUUUUUUUUUUUCUAAAAAAAGAGAAGAACUUAUCAGUCAAUAAAAACAGCUUAUAGAAAUUUCAAAGAAAUGGAGACGUCAAAUUAGCGCUCGUCAACAAAUCCAGAAUGGCUUUCUGUCCACUAUCAUUAUCGCAGUUGCUUUAGCUCUAAAAAUUGUCUGCCAUGAAAAUGUUCUAUAAGAACUUUCCACCAAGUCAACGUUUGUUCUCUCUAAAUGUGGCAUGACCUUUUUCAUUGACUUCAGCCUCCAGUCUUGCUCUACUCCUUGUCCACGUUACCUUUACUGAAAUAUUUCUUUCUUCCACCAUGAGGUCUGUUAGCUAGAGAAAUUGAUCGCCAAAAAGAUGAACUCUCGCAAAUACAUAUUUAAAAAAAGCUUUAAAAAAUGUGUACCUGAAUUUAUAACAAGUCUUUUGAAAAAAUUAACUUCUAUAUGUAAAUUGACCAAGAAAACUGUGUUUUUCUUCAAACACUUUUUUUGUUUAUUUUUUUUUACAUAAAUUUUGAUGAAAUAAAUAUACUGUAAUGGAUAUAGAGAAGAUUAAUUUUCUAAAAAGACUGUUUAAUUAACACAUCCAUCAAUAAUACAAUUAUUAAAAUAGAAAACUACUUCUCAUUAUUAUAUUUUCAGUUUCUAUAGUUUGUAAUUUUAAAAGAAGACUUCUUUAAAUAAAAAAAUUCUAAAAUUUUAUAAUUUUUAGCAAAUUAUUAAUUAAUAUUUCCUUACAAUAGAUUCUUAGUUAUAGUUUCAUGUUGUUGAUUGAUGAAAAGACUUGUACUUUUUUUUUCAAUGGAACAAUUAUUUAUGUGUCUUGCAAGAUUAAAGGCUAAAGUUUUCUUCUCUCUAUAUAUAUAUAUAUAUAAUUUUUGUUUUUACUUUCUGUCCACUAUCAUUAUCGCAGUUGCACUUUGUCUAAAACUUUAAAAUAAUUAAGUUAUUAUUUAGUUGCACAUUUGCUUUAGCUCUUUGUCUGCCAUUCAAAUGUUGUAUAAGAACUUUCCACCAAGUCAACGUUUGUUUUCUCUGAACUUGUUAUAGAAAUUUCUAAGAAACAAACACGGCAAGGGACUCCGUGGUCUCUGUCCCCACUAUCAUUGAAUUUUUUAUAAACAGCAAUAAAUGAGGGCACGACUUUUUUCAUUGACUUCAAUCUCCAGUUUUUCUAAGCUUCUCUCCAUUCCUUGUACACAUUACCUUUCAUUUCAUCUGAUAAAAAGAUACAACUUUCUUUCCUCCACCGUGAGGGCUGCUAGCCAGCUGAUCACCAAAAAGAUGAACUCUCUCAAAUUCUACGUUAUCCUGCUCUCGUUGCUUACCCUUGCUAUUAUCACUCUAGCACAGGAGGAUGCCAAUUACCUCUAUCAUAAUUGCCAAAACGCAACCACCUCCACAUUAAACAGCACCAACCGAGCCAGAAAAACAAUUGAUAGUGGAUGAUGAGAUCAAGGCUUAAAGAAAGAGCAAAGUAGCUUACACAGCAAGUUUAAAGUAACACCUCGUUCCACAAGCUUGAAAAAAAAUAAUAAAAAAAAUAAUAAACUAAUGAAAAUAAUUAUAGGGCCCAAGAUCAAAUCAAUUGCUCAAGCGGGAAUCACACUUUAUUUUAAUUAUGUCAAGCUUUUAUGCGAAUCACAAUCACAAGCUGCAUAAAAUAGCAAGAGAAGACCUUCAACUCUUGAACCCAAUCGAGGAAAUUGCAACCAUGUGCGAAAAGGCAUUUGAGAUUCUGAGUGAAUAAGUCUGGACAGUACUCGUGGCAUGGAGUGUGACUUUGAUUAUAUUUUCUCUUAAAUAAGAGGAGCAAAAAGUCACUGGCAAACACUUUGUAGGGGAGAUGUCACUUCGAGUUCUUGUCAGACGUGUUUGAGAGAUGCAAGCCAAAAACUGUUGAAAGAUUGCGAAAGUAAAGAAGCAAUCAUAUGGUAUGAACGAUGCCAAAUUCACUACUAGUUUCAGAAUAUAAUUUCAUUGGAUGUUUAUUCCGGGAAGUAUCCAGACUUGGAAUCUCAUAAUAAAUCCGUAUCAGAUCCUGUUCAUUUCUACGACAAUGUAAGGUUCCUCAUGGACAGCCUGUCAAAUGAGGUGGCGCUCAAUCGUUCAAAGCUCAUGUUUGAAACUGGGGAAAUCAAGUUUUCAAGGAACGAAACCAUAUAUGGCCAUGUACAGUGCACUAGAGAUAUCAGAGAAGAUGAGUGUCACAAAUGUUUGAGCUCUGCUUUGAUUGAUCUCAAGGGAUGUUGUUCUUCGAAGCAAGGUGGAAUUAUUGUUAGUAGGAAUUGCAAUGUAAGAUUUGAGCUGUACAAAUACUACAACACCUCAAGUCACUUGAUAACAUUCCCAACUCCUCAAGGUGAGUAAACAUAAUUUGUUUUUACUGAUGAACUGUCAGCAAACAGAAGUUAUGUUUUGAUUACACUUUAGCAAGAAAGGGCAGUACCAGUAACUCUUGGUGUUUCAAAUGCUGGCUUUACUCACAAGUACCCAAUUUGUUAAUGAUUGAUAUUGUUACUAUUAAUUCAUUCUUUGAAAGGUAAUGUAUUGUCCAGAAUCCUAGUCCAUUAUUAAAUGAUAUGCUACCAAAUUCUUGCUUUGCAAGGCAGGAGUAAUUGGAAGAUGGUGGCAAUUACAGUGUUUAUACCUACAAUGGUGCUUACAUUAAUAGUCAUUGGAUCUUCCAUUUUCUGUCUGAGGCGAAAAAGAAGAAGACAAAGAGGUAUCUGAACCAAGUGACCACGUCCACUUUAAUUAAAUAGGUUAAUUUACAUCCCAAUUCAAAAGUACAAAACUCUUAUUUUUUGGCAGACAUGGAAAGAAGUCACCUAACAUUAUUAAAGGAAUCAGCAAGUCCCAUAGGGUUCACAACGACAGCAGAAGGACAGUUGGUAAGUUCUGAGGACCUGCGUUUCAUGGACUUAAAUACUAUCAGAGCAGCCACAGACAACUUCUCCGACUCGAAUAAGCUUGGACAAGGUGGGUUUGGCACUGUUUAUAAGGUAAGUUGUAAAGGGGCUUCUCUGUCACAAUCCACUGAGAUUCAGCUGUCUUCGCAGUCCAUCCCUCUAAAAGGAAAACCCAGUUUUUUAUUCAGUUUGACAUGGUUAAGUAUUGCUUCGGUUCACAAAAUUUUCAUCACUGCAAAUUGUUUCAGGGUGUGUUAACAAAUGUGAAAGAAAUAGCUGUUAAAAGGCUUUCAAUAAAGUCAUGGCAAGGUUUAGAGGAGUUCAAGAAUGAAUUCAUACUAAUUGAAAAAUUACAACACCGAAACCUGGUGAGGCUGUUGGGAUGUAGUAUGGAAGGAGAGGAAAAGCUGCUCAUAUAUGAGUUCAUGCCUAACAAAAGCCUUGAUAUCUUUAUCUUUGGUCUGUUCCUUUCAUUUAUUUUGCAUUUGAAUUCUUAAAUUUUACAUUUUCAACAAUCAAUUGACGCAAGAGGCUGAAGUUUCUUCUUAUUCAAAUUUCAGAUGCCGGAAGACGAGCACAGCUUGGUUGGGAGACAUGUUACAACAUAAUUGGUGGCAUUGCUAGAGGACUUCUUUAUCUACAUGAGGAUUCCCGGCUUAGAAUCAUUCACCGGGAUUUGAAACCUAGCAAUGUUCUACUGGACCACGAGAUGGUUGCCAAGAUAUCAGACUUUGGCAUGGCUAGAAUUUUCGGCGAAAACCAGAACAAAGCAAACACCAGAAGAGUAGUAGGAACAUUGUAAAUCCUCCUUCUUCUCCUCUAUUCUUUUUUCUUGUAUUCUGACGAUUUUGAUCCGUAAUUUUAAUCUCCUGGGGUUUUCUUACACGUGAAGCAGCGGAUACAUGGCUCCAGAGUACGCAAUGGAAGGAAUAUUCUCAGUGAAAUCGGAUGUCUUCAGCUUUGGUGUUAUACUUCUUGAGAUCAUAAGUGGGAAAAGAAGCAGUGGUUUUUACCUCACAGAGCAUGGCCAGACACUCUUAGCAUAUGUGCGUACAAUAUUUUCCCUACCCUUGAACAUUUUCCCUUAAUCUUGGCAGGUCAUGUUAUGAAACCAAAUUCACAGGCAUGGAGAUUAUGGAUUGAAGGGAAAGCAAUGGAGUUUGUGGAUCCUUUGUUGGUGGAAAGAGGCCCAGCAGAAUGGAUUUUGAGGUGCAUGCAUAUUGGGCUGUUAUGUGUGCAGAAGGAUCCAGCAGACAGGCCCACAAUGUCAUUUGUGGAUUUAGCAUUGGCAAGCGACCCAAUAGCUCUUCCUCAACCACAGCAACCGGCCUUUUCUCUUGUUAAAAUUGUUCCAGCUGGCAAGUCUUCAUCAACAGAUCCUUCAGUGAAUCAGAUGACAGUCUCUAGUUUCUUACCGAGGUGAUUGUAAAUGAAAUUGCCACUAUGUUAAUGUGUCUGGCAACAAUGUGUCUCAUAUUCUUAACCACUUUGUUAAUGUGCCAUGCUUGUCCAUGAACAUAUUCAACUUGUGUCUAAUUUCAACAACAACAAUGAGAAAAUAGUGACAUUUAGUUACUUGAUUAGCACUUAAUCUCCUAAAAAUGAGCUAGUUUAGUAUAAAUAUGGGCUUAAAGCCUACUUUUCAUUGGAAGUUUUUUUUUAAAAAAAAUCAAAACAAGAGAAUAUUCAGGUUUUAUUAAUAUGUAUUUAGUUUUUUAAAAAAACAUAAUCAUAAAUUGAAAAGCCUAUAUAUACAUUUAAUUAAAUAAAUCAAGAAUCAUAUUUAUCAAUAAUUACAAAAAAAAAAAAGUAUUGAUGUAUUUAUUCGACUUUCUUCACUGCGAGUUAGAUAUUUUUUCUCUAAUACAAGAGAAUAAAUGUGUAGUUAUUGUUAAUGUGUUUUUUUAACCCAAAUAUAUUAAAUUAAUUAUUUAAUAUGCAUUAAUUUUUUUUUAAAAUACAUAUUAAAAAUAUAUCAAUUAAUUUUAUUUUUUUUACAAAUCUUCCAUUCUAUAGUACUGCUAUAGUAAAAAAAAAUUCAAUCAUAAUUUUAUUUUAGUUUUGUUUUAUAUCUUGUUUUUUUUAUGUCUAUUAUUUCUAUUUUUUUUAUCUCAAAAUAAUAACCAAACAUAAUGUUAAAAAUUAAUAAGGAAUGGUGGCAGGUGACUAAAGUCCCGUUUGAAGCAACGAAUGAUGGUUUUUUUCGUAUAAAACCUAAUCAUUUUAAUAACUAUUUUUAUGCCUUUUCGUUUAAAGCUAUUUUUUAGUAAUUUAAUUAACUUUGUUUGUAAGAAAUUGAUUUUUAGAAUUUGUAUUCAUCCUAUCUCUAAUUAUCAAGUUGACCUUAGAAUACAAACCUUAAUUAAGUCACGAUCAGAAAUAAAAUUUUCAAGGAUUCUCUAAUUUCCAAAACAGGUAUCUUAUCUUAAUUUGAUAACACUAAAAAUAAGUUAAUGAAAAAUCAACCUAAUGAUACCACAAAAGGGAAAAAAAAAUCAGGUAGCCAAAGACUGAAGUACUACAAGAUGUGAAUUAUUACAUAAUUACUACCUUUAUAAAUCCUAUUUAAGAAAUUCUAGUAAGACAUCAUCAAACAAGAAAAAAACUUUCCAACGUAGAAAAACGCACACAAAGAAGAACUAACGGUACAUGUUCAGCGCGAGGAAUGAUCAUUAUACAUACCUUAAUCCCACGGCAAAGCAACAUAAAUUCCAAAUUAGAAAUUUCAGCAUGACUGAUAAUAUAUUUAAAUUCAUUUUUUCCUAAUUGAAUAUAUAUAUAUAUAUAUAUAUAUAUAUAUAUAUAUAUAGAGAGAGAGAGAGAGAGAGAGAGAGAGAGCGCUUAUUAAUACAUAUUUGUUAUUAAAAAACAAAAAGUCAAAGAGAGGAGAAUUUCAUUCCUGUUUAGAUAAACGACGUGGAUGAUAAUUGUAUCUUGUAGAACAGAGAGCUAUUCUCGUCCGAAGAAUCUCUAUUAAAAUUAAUUAGGAAAGAUAUUUUUAGGUUUCUUUGAUGGUAAUAAAAAUGUAUAAGAUGAUGGCGUCUGGUAUCCCUUCCAUAGGUCCCUUUGGCGUUUAUACCCCUACGGUUCAUGUGAUAAGUGUACAAGUAUCUUACAUAAUAUUUGGUUAUUGAUGUGAGAUACAAGGGAUGAAGACAAUGAAGAUAUAAAUACAUUUGAUUUAAGAGAUAGAGAUAUAGAGAUAAAUUUAUUUUUGGAAUAUAUUUAAAAGUAUACUUUCAAAAUAAAAAAUACAAAGUGAAUAUGUUUUUAGAGACAAUAUUUAUUAUUUUUAUUUCUAAAAUAUCCAAUAAAAAACUCUCAAUUCCAAAAUAUUCAAGACAUGUAAAAAUAAAAAUUAUUAUUAUUAUAAUUUUAAAACCAAACUUGGAAGUCGAUCUAUAGCAAAUCCUAUAUCACUAGUCGAGGCAUAGGUCACAAGUUGGGUUAACCCGAUUCAACGUAAGUAUAAAAACGGUUAUGAUAAUAGUUUUAAAACGCUAUUUGGUAGUCAAUCCCGGGCAAGACUCGGUUCACAAGUGGGAUUGACCAUUGACCCAUGUUAACAUAAAAACAAAAAUGGUUAUUAUCAUAGUUUUUAAAUAAAACUAGGUUUAUUAUAAUAUUAUUAAUUUCAACAAUAUAAACUAAAGUAAAAAUAAAAUAAAAUAUAGAAUUAUUUUUUUAAUAUGUAAGUUUGAUAACAAUAUAUAUAAAAUAAUUUUUUUCAUAUUUUAUUUUGUCUUAUCUACCAUAAUCAAAUAUAAUACAGAGAUAAUUAUUUUGUUUUGUAUAUAACUACCAAUCAUAAUUUUAUUUUAGUCUUAUUUUAUGUCUUGUCUCCUCUAUAUCUAUUAUCUCUACUUUUUUAUUUUAUUUUUAUCUCGGAAUAAUAACCAAACAUUAUGUUAAAAAAUAAUAAGGAAUGGUGGCAGGUGACUAAAGUCCCGUUUGAAGCAAAGAAUGAUGGUUUUUUUUUUUUUGUAUAAAGCUAAUUAAAACCUAAUCAUUUUAAUAACUAUUUUUAUGCAUUUUCUCGUUUAAAGCUAAUUUUUAGUAAUUUAAUUAACUUUGUCUGUAAGAAAUUGAUUUUUAGUAUUUGUAUUCAUCCUAUCUCUAAUUAGGAAAGUUAUUAAAACAACAAUACAUAAUUUCUAAAUAUAGUACGUAUGGAAAUGACGACGUAUUUAUACUUUAUUUAAAAUAAUAAAAUUAGUAUUUUCUUUUAUUAAAAAAGAAAUAACUUAUAGAAAUUUCAAAGAAAGGGACACUAAAGUAGCACAAAGCAAUACGGCAAAGGACGCCGAAUGAUCUCUGCCCACUAUCCUGAAGGACGACCUUUAGCACUUCUGCAUGAUUCCAUAUUUCUUUCAAUAACUAAGACCCUUCAGCAUUUUUUUUCCUUACACAAACACGCAAUAAAAGUACUGGCAUGACUUUUCUCAUUGAACAGAGUCUCCAGUUUUGCUAAGCUACCUCCAUUCCUUGUUCACAUUACCUCUCAUCUGAUAAAAGGAUGGACUCUCUUUCUUCCACCAUGAGGGCUGCUAGCUAGCUAGAGAGCUUGAUCACCCAAAAGAUGAACUCUCUCAAAUUCUACGUUAUCCUGCUCUCGUUGCUUACCCUUGCUAUUAUCACUCUAGCACAGGAGCAUAACAACUACCUCUAUCAUAAUUGCCAAAACGCAAACACCUCCACAUUAAACACCACCUACUUAGUCAAUCUAAAUCUCCUCCUAUCUUCACUUGCCUCGAAUGCAACCCCGAAUAAUACCAUUGGAUUCUACAGCACCUCUUUCGGGCAGAGCACUCAUCAAGUGUACGGCCUGUUUAUCUGCCGUGGCGAUCUUAGCAGCACUACUGUUUGCCAAAGUUGUGUCACCUUCGCUACCAAAGAUAUAGUCCAGCGUUGCCCAAUCGGAAUAGCGUCCAUUGUGUAUUACGAUGCGUGCAUCCUACGUUACUCUAACGUGAACUUUUUCUCUAUGGUGGAUCGAAGCCCUGGUUUCAACUUGUCUAACACAAAGAAUAUCACUAACGAACCCCAGCGUUUUAACAAUCUAGUGGGAGCCACCUUGAAAGAUUUGGCUGAUCGAGCUGCAAGUGCUCCUCCAGGUGCUAAAAAGUUUGCUGUGAAUGAAACAUCUUUCGAUGCGUUCCAAUAUAUAUACAGCCUUGCCCAGUGCACACCGGAUUUAUCUAGCUUUGAUUGCAAGAACUGUCUCAGGGCAGUAAUUGCUAGAUUGCCCAUUUGCUGCAGCAGCAAGAGUGGAGGAAGAGUCUUGUUUCCUAGUUGUUAUAUUCAUUAUGAAAUUUAUAUAUUUUAUAUUGCAACGGCAGUCGCAGCGGAGUCACCUCCUCCUCCGCCCGUGGUUCUUCCUUCUCCUCCACCUCCUCGUUCAGUGACAAUACCAGAAGGUAAAGUUAGUUUGCACUAUUUAUUGUUUUUUGUCAAUAUCUUCAAUUGCCACUCUAGCAAAGUCGUUACUAUAGAAUGCACUCGUCGAAAUUUAAAUUUAUCUCUUAAAUUUUUUGGAUGAGAUUUAUUUAUUAAAUUAUGAAAUACAAAAUCCUUAAAUUAUUUUGGAAAAAAAAUCUAUCCUUUUGUAAAUUUUAAAAUUAUACAACAAUUUUUUUUUCCUAGUCGGUUGAUAUUCUUAAUUCAAAUGUGAUGGUUUUGGCCCGAUUCAUGUUUACCAUGUUUGGAUCAAGAAUUGCCUUCCUCCAUGAACAAUUUUUAAAAAACCCAUCUAAAAUAAGAAAAAAAACCUUGCAAGAACAAAUCCCACCACACUACAUAUUUUUUUCAAAGCUACAACCGAAUCGUCACGAAUGUAGGAAUCCCACCACACUACAUAUUUUUUUCUAGUAGAGAUUUGCGACACGAUUCAUCAAUUCAAUUUUUACUCAUCAAGAUUAAAUCAAUCUUUUUAAUAGGUAAAUUUUUUAUUGGUUUUGAAAAUGACCCGGUAAUUUUUAGCUUGUUGUCGGGUUUUUUGAUUAGUUCUCGAAAUUAAUAUCUUUUUUUGAUUCUAUUCUUGAAUAUUUGAUAUUAUUUUAAAAAUAAUUUAUAUGAUUAAUUUUUUUCAUAUUUCAUUUCCCUUUAUUUUUUAUCUUUCGGAUUGUGUUUUCAAUUUUUAUUUAUUUAUUUAAUUUAAAAUAACAUUUUUAAUUUAUUUUCUUUCUCUAGGAUCUUUUAUUGAUUUUAAAAAUAACUCAGGUUUUCUUAAAUUUUUUUAUUUAUUUUUUUGUGUUGGAUUUACUUUCGCCGAUCAAUAUUAAAUUAGUUAAAAAUUGAGUUUCUUGAUUCGGCUUAAAUUUAGAAUUUAAUAGGUUGUGAAUUUGAGAUAUUUACCUGGUUUUAAAAGGUUCAUUUAAUUUUGUUUUGCCUUUUUAAGCUGAUGACUUUUUAAUUUUGUUAUUUAAUAUUUAUAUAAUUAAUUAUUAGACUUUUGUUUUUUUAUUUUUGAGCCUUCUAUAUUAUUAUGUUUUCCAUAUGUUAACCUUUUUACUUUGCUAGGUCUAUGGCUAGUGUCAUGUUUUUUUUUUAAAAAAAAAUAAAUCAUGUUUGCCUCAUAAAAUUACAAAUGUUUUUUAAUUUCAUUCCUUUUAUUUUUUUUAUCUUUUAAAUUUGGUCCCUAUUAUUUUGAUUGCUAUUUGUUUUGUUUGUGAUUAUUUUUUUUAUUACUAUCUUUUUUCUUUUUCAAGUUUUUUAAAUUAAUAUUUUUUUCAUGAUUUUAUUUUUUAAAAUUAAAUUGGUUGAGAAUUAAGUUUCUUGUUUCAACUGGAAUCUAGGAAUUCAUCGGUUGUGAAUUUUAGAGACUGGACCAGGUUUAGAAGGUGUGCUCGGAUUUUCUUAGUUUUUCCCUUUCUUUUUCUUGAAGAUAAUGUUUUUUUAUUAUUAUUUCUUAACCUUUUUUUAGUUUUGCAUUAUUAUUUUUUACAGUUUGCCUUCUAUGAGAUUAGUCUCAUGUUUAUGACUAAGGUCACCAGUUUCAGAGCUUAAUAGGAGUUGACUUGUUUAUGUUUUUUUUUUAAAAUUGAUUUAUUUUUAUUUCAUCUUUCAAUAUUUAAUUUAUUAAAAAGUGGUCUUCACACCUUCUCUUUUCCUUUCCUUAUAUUGGUUUAUCUCUAUUAUAUGCUUAUGGUUAUAGGUUUGCAGGUGAACUCAGGUCAACUCAUAUUUUUUCUUGUUGCCUUUUUAAAUUAUAUAUAUAUUUUUAUAUCCUUCAACGUUGAAUUGUUUGAUAAUUCAGUUUCAUGAUUAUAUUUAAUUUUCUUUUAAAUGUGGUCAUUCUAGUAUCAUAACUAGGUCAUAUAUUUUGCAUCUUAACCCUAAUGGGUACAAAUCAAGUUUUUCAUCCUUUUUUAAUUAUCUUUCUUCUUAAUUUUUAUCUUUCAAUAUUUUAUUUGUUGGAGAUUUAACUUCAACUUUUUUCUUAUAUUUUUUAUUAUUUAAAGUUACCGUGUUCUCAUUUGAUUUAUCAGAAAUUGAACUUUGAGUAUUUUUUUCUUGCAUUUUUUUUCUCUAUAAGAUUAUCUUAAUAUUAUGUCAAUGGUCGUGAAGUUUGCAAGUUAGCCUUUUUUAACUUAGGUGUUUUUUUUUAAUUAUGUUUUGUUUCGCCUUUCAAUAUUAGAGUUGUUUAAUAAUCUAGGUAAGCUCAAGUUAGGUUCUUUUUACCUUUUUUAUUUUAUUUUUUUAUCAAUUUAUUUAGUGUUAUUGUAUUUUAUUAAUCAUAUUAUUUGAAUUACUAAUUGAACCAAUGACUCGAUUCUCAAAUAUAUUUUUUCUUAUCAUUUUUUUCUAUGUUGAAAAUAAAUUUAGCGUAUGCAAGCCACAAAUCUAGUUUGAAUUAUAAAGAGGGAACAUAAAUCUGAACAUAUCUUCAAUCCCAAUUUUUUUUUUUUAUAUAUUCUUUAACCUUUUACUAAAUAUUUCAAGUAAGUUUAUUGAGUAAGUUUUUGGAGUAUGUCCAUGUGGGCCAUCUGGACUAUGAAAUUUCAUUAUAAUAGUAAAUGCAAUGGUUUUGAUAACCAUCACUAUUGCACGGAUGUUAUGAAAAGAGGCAUUGGUGCAUUCUGAUAUAGUAAUUUAAUAAAAUUUGAGAAAGUUUAACCAAAUUGCGAAUGACAUAUUUUGAUAGCAUUUGGUCAUUCCAUGAGAAAGCAAUAUUGAACUUAUAAGUUAUAACCCUGUUUCUAAUUAUAAUGGAUCCAAAAUCAAAAAGAUAUUCAUGGUGGAUUGUCAACAUGUUACAAAAGGUUAAUUACUGGCUUCAAAGCCACUUUUGGCUUUAAAUCAUGGAAGCAAAGUUAUACAACUCGGCCAGUUAUAUGAUAUGAUUCAGCUCAAGAUAUGAAUUAUGAGUUAGGUUAGUUUGUACAGGUAAAUUUAAUCUAGUAUCAUUUUAAAAUUUAUUUAAAAAAACAUUUAAAAUGAUUUUUCUUUUUAAAAGAAAAACUCAUAAAGGAUCUUAUUCAUAUUUUGACUAGGUCAAUCAAGUUAUAAAGUCAGAAUAAUCAAGCUUGACAUGAAUAACUCUCAACACGGUUUAAUAAAAAACCUUGUUUAGGCUAGUUACUGGUCGGCAGUUUGAUUGACCAAACCAAGCCAGGUUUAUAGCAUUUUUACUAAAAAAACCCAAAAAAAAAAAAGGAAAAAAAAAUAGCUCCCAUGACAUUCAAUAUGCUUGUACGUUAAAGUUAAAAGCAUUACGAAUUACAAUGCGUUUUUGAAUGUUACAUGUUUCUUUUUGCAGAAAAAGGCGGUGUCUCAACAGUUUUAAUUAUAGCCAUUGUCAUUCCCAUUGUUGUUUCUAUCGCGCUUUUGAGCAUGUGUCUCUGUUUCCGGAGGAGGGCAAGAAAGACCAGAGAUUAUGUGCCAGAAAAUGAUGGUAAAGAACAUUAGAAAUCUUUUUUAAUUGGGAAACAAAAAAAUAAAAGCAGAGUCUUUUCUGUUUUGUACUCUGCCUAAUAAUAUUUUCAAAAGCUCAAAGGAAUAUCUACUUGUGUUGUGUAGUUGGAGAUGAGAUUACCACCGAGGAGUCCUUGCAAUUUGAUUUGAGUACUAUAGAAGCUGCCACGAACAAUUUCUCCGCUGACAACAAGUUAGGUGAAGGAGGAUUUGGUGAGGUUUACAAGGUAAGAAAUUCGUGAUGCGUUUAAAUUUUCAAGAACAGGAAAUACCUUGUUGCAUUCGUAUUUGAAAAUCCCUUGCUCAAGCAUCGGUGAAAGUGCUUUCUCAGGGAACACUUCCUAAUGGACAGCAAAUUGCUGUGAAGAGGCUAUCAAGAAAUUCUGGACAAGGUGCUGCAGAAUUUAAGAAUGAGGUUGUAUUGGUAGCCAAGCUUCAACACAGGAAUCUAGUGAGGUUGCAAGGGUUUUGCUUGGAAAGAGAAGAAAAGAUUCUUGUCUAUGAAUUUGUCAGCAACAAAAGCCUUGACUACUUUCUAUUUGGUAUAUAUUGAUGAUUUCCUAAAUGUUCUUCUCAUUGCCUUUUAGGACGAGACAUGCAUAUUUGCCUCUUUUUUUAACCUAUGGAUCUGCAAUCUUACUCGAAGGUUCUUUUUUCUUGAUUUUGUAGACCCUCAAAGGCGAGGACUGUUGGACUGGUCCAGACGGUACAAAAUAAUAGGAGGCAUUGCUCGAGGAAUUCUUUAUCUUCACGAGGACUCUCGGCUACGAAUUAUACAUCGUGACCUCAAAGCUAGCAAUAUUCUGCUAGAUGGAGAUAUGAACCCCAAAAUCUCAGAUUUUGGCUUGGCUAGGAUUUUUGUAGUCGAUCAAACUCAAGCAAGUACCA